GGAGGGUUGGACACAGCCGAACCGGCGUAGUUGAUAACCGGGCAGGUGAUCGUGAUCUGAGUAUACCUUCUGCGUCGAUCCAAUCUCCGCCUUCUGUCUCUCCAAGUCGACCUUCGUCCCGAUCUCGUCGCCAUUGUUCUCAGAGAGGGACGAUCAUCCAACGGUACCAUUCGAGGUAAGGAGAAGAUUGAGAUCGAGAUUGAUGGAGGUGGAGCCGCCGGGGCCGCUGCGGUAUCUGAUUGGGGCGGCGAUUAUGAUGGUCGGCGUCGUACUCCCGCUCGGGUACAUGAUGUUCUGCAUCAAGCGCGUUCCUUCGUCAUCCUCGACCUACUCCAAACAGACGUAGGACUAAAGGGCUGAUAUAGGGAUCAUCGGGAGCUUUUCUCUGCUGCCAAUGGUCAUCCCGUUACAGUGGAAUGAGGAAAUUACUGGCGAGUAUACCAUUAAUGAUGUUUCGAUAUUUUUGUUUUUUCCUUUCGUUGGUGUAUUUAGAGGUUUUUGUGUACUUUGUAUCUGAUUUUAGUUAGAAUAGCAAUUUCUAGCUGGAAAAUUUGCUUGUCACUAUGGUUGGUUCCAGUCUCUACUAUGUCAUUGUCAAAAUGUUUGGUUGCUAA